GGGACGGGGUGAGGAGCAGAGGCCCGUGCGGAGGCGGGGGCGCCUGCAGGCCCCCCGCGGUCCCGUCUCCGAGGGCAAGCCCGACUCGAGCGACCGCCGCUCUUUCCCGUGUCUCCCGGAGAGACGCCCCGAACGCGAGCCCGAGGACUGCUUCCCCACGGAACCUGCGCGCCCGGCCCGGCUCCUGGAGCGUCGAGCUCCGAGCGCGGUCGUGUCUGAACUCGCCCGGGAUCCCCCUGCCCCUCUCCUAAAUACGGGAUCACUCCAUGCGGCUUCUCUUUCUUGGGGAUUCACGACCCCAAAACGCAAAACCAUAUGUGUAUAGUGUGAAGAGUAACUGUAAAGCAGAAGCUCAGUCGAGAGCCGGAACACUGCCAGCCCCCACCUGCUCCAGGGUCCUCCCUCCGGAGGUCACCUCCAUUCUCCCAGAGGUCACCAUCAUCCUCACUUUUCUGACAAUCCUUUCCUUGUUUUCCAGGCUUAACCACGCUCUACAUCUCUAAGCAAUGCAGUUUAGUUUUAGCUGUUUUUAGACUUUAUUUUUUUCAAGAUCUAUUUUAGAGAAAGAAUGGGGGGGAGGGGCAGGGGGCGAAGGAGAGAGAAUCUCAAGCAGGCUCCCCGCUGAGCUCGGAGCCUGACAUUAUAUCUUCUCCCCUGUCCUACCCAGAUCCUGUGUAUCUAAGCAUCUCCCUGAGGAAUGCCUUUGUGUGUUCCCCUUCCAGCACCUGACAAAAUCCACCAGAUUAACCCAUCAGCCUUCCAUGCUCUGCUUCUGGAUUGAAAACUUUUUCCUACGUUCAGCAGUCAUUCCAUGUUUGACCAGUAGAGGGCAUUUUAGGCUUUCUCAGGUGGCCCCUACAGGCCGCAACAAGCGUAUGGAGGUGCAGUGAUGCUGUCGAGGCAACUCAAACGCGGAGUCCAUGGACACUACAUUCUGUCUCGUAAAGUAUUCGAUACGCGGGUCCCUGUGUGUGCAUUUCAUGGACGGAAAUUACCUGUAAGAGAUGAGGAAGCUAAGACACAGAGAAGCCAUUUGCUCGAUGCCACAGAGCCCAGAUUCUAACUCGGCCAACGGACUCCAGAGCUGUGUUCUCCACUCCAGCCAUACUGCCUCCUAAGAGAGCUUAAGCGGGGAAACCCAAAGACCAAAGAAUGUCCCCCAACUCUCACCUCAUGUAUGGAAGAGGUUCCUGGCUCUGCUACUCCACUUCCUCAGUCUGUCAAAGGAAGCAAACGGUAUUUUAAAAGACCUUGGAAAUAUCAGGGAUAGCUUGUCAGCUCUGAUCACAGAUUUUCCAAUGAACUCAGUCUGCUACAACUCUAUAAUAAAGAACCUGACUGGCCUGUCUCUAGUUCCUGGUAGGGAGACUCUAAAGUCUUGGAUUUUCCAGGGUAAAGGGAAUGUCUUCAUUAUUCAGGAGCUGCUUGGAUCAUACUUGAGUUUAAGCUACAAAAUGAGAGAACUCAGGAUGGAGUCUGGUCACACAAAGAUCACACCUGUGGUUAGAGACUUGGGACUCUGAGCCAGCCCAGCCUCGGGGUAGCGGAUGACCGGGAAUCACUUCAACUACAUUGUCAAUGAUUCAAUCAAUCAUGUCUAUGUGAUUAGAUCCCAAUAAAAAACUACGGAUGCUGCAGUUCAGUGAAUGCACAGAUGUGCUGCUGAGGGGGAGAAGUACCCCGAUUCGUGGGGAAUGGGCACAGCUCUGUGUCUGAGAAUCUCAUAGCCCUUGUCUCUUCAUUUGGCUGAUCCUGAUUUGUGUCCUUUAUAAUAAAACUGUAAAUACGGCACUUCGCUGAGUUCUGUGAGCCACUUUAGCUAUACCAAACCUGAGGGUUCUGUGAGUUUCAAUUUUCUCAUUUAUUAUAAGUUAAAUAAAAGUCUUUUACAGCCGUUUUCUAAGUAUUUGCGUGUGAGAUGCAUUAAACUAACCAUAGUAAGGGGCUUAAAGUCUUAGUAAGGCUUUUGCACAAUUUUUUUUCUGAUAGAUUUGUAGGAAUCCUCUAUAGUCUACACAUGAAUCCUUUGUUUCAAAUUAUUUUAUCCCACUUAAGGUAUACUUUUAUACUCUUUAUGAUGCUUUCUAAUAAGUAAAUAUUACUAAUUUUAAUUGAGCCAAAUUAUCCAUUUUAAAAUUAACAAUUAGUGUUUUCUAUGAUCUAAGAAAUCCUUCCCUCUUAAGGUCACGAAGAUAAUCUCCUUUGUGGUCUCCUAAAAACUUUAUUAUUUUGCCUUUAACGUUUAGGUUUAUAAUUGGCCUGGAUAUGGUUUUUGUGUAUGCUGUGAAGCAGAGGUAUCCCUUUAAUUUUAGACUCAAAUUUCCUUUCUUGAUUCCUUCAAACUUAUUAUGCAAAAAAACAGUCUUUGGAUCUGACAUUCCUUCAAGACUUGCCUCUUGGGUUAUUCUCUGGCUCCAACUGCCACACCCUACAAGUGACUGAUGGCUUAUUCAUGACUCCAUCCAGGUUUUGGGGGCAUCACGCCUAGCCCAGGCUCCGGGCCCAGGGCCCCCUUGUCUGUAAAAAUUGAUCAGUCUUCAAGGGAGAUCGGAAGUUCCUUAAAAAGACCUUUUUUCUCUCUGACUCUUGAGGACUCAUUCCAACUUCUCACCCAUGACCGAAAUUGAG